AGUAUAAAUACAACACUGAACAACAAACCAUCAGACACAUAGUCACUGUAGGUUGCUCUGUUCUUACUGACUUCACCACUUCUUGUCUUCAAAGAUGAAGAUGUUCAGCGUUGCAGUGGCCGUCAUGAUCGUCCUCAUUUGCUCUGAGAGGAGUUCUGCUGUCCCCGUGGAUCAAGUGCCUGCAGCCAGUGAUGAUCUGAUUCCUGUAAAUCAAGAGAUUCCUGCUGAAUCAGAGGAGAUGCCAGUGGUUAACAGGAUGAAGCGUAGUUGUGGCACUUGCUGUGUUAAUACUUCUCA